rnacentral:lncRNA from 1 species
AAAGACCCAGUCCCAUUUAACGGCAAAUUUGACAGUAACUCAGAUGAAAUUAUUAAUGUUUAGUAACCAUUGGAAAACCAUGAAGCUAGAGGAAGAAAAGAUGUUAAAGUGAGGAACUAAAGGCAGCCUGAGUUGGUGCAAAAGACUGAAAUUCUGAAGCUGAAAGUCGGGCAAGCAUGGUAUAGGGGCCUCACUGAACUGGAGAGUCAAACACACAAGAACACGAUGGUAGAGUAGGAGCUGUGCAGCCACACUUCUGACAGAAAUCUCCUCAUUGGGCAUCAUUGGGAUGUUCUGGCCCAAAAUACAGAUAUCAAUUUAGACUGUGUUUCUAGAGUAACAGCUAGACAAAGCAAGAAUUGAAAGACAACAGAUGGUGCAUCAGAAUUCUAAUGUCAAGACUGUUUCCUCAAAAGGCCAAAAAAAGAAAAAGGUAGAAACAGUGCUGAAGUUCUAAACAAUGCGUUUUCUUCUCUGGAGUGGUCAACUUCAAUUAAAUGGAUGUUGUCAUGCAGGAGAGUUUCUCAGGAACAGCAGAGAUUGUUAAUCCUUAGACCGCAAAGCACAUGACCAAGGGCUCAACAAACAACAGCAACAACAAAAAGGAGUUGACCAGAGUAUAGCAUCAUAGGUGCACAGAAAGAAAAGUUUGAAGAUCACCAGGUACUUGAAAAUUUUCAACAAGUCCCAAAGUGGUGUCAUCUAAAUUCUGAAGGUGUGGAGCAUUCUACCAAAUGGCUCCAUCCUCCCAUCUUUGGAGGAAUAUCGAACAGAGUAAGAGAGACUGUCUUCCCUUAUGAACCAGCUUUGUGAUCCCAGCCCAAGGUUUUUAUCCGAGCAUGAACCAUCUGGCUUUGCGUGGGGUGAAAGUGUGUCAGCUUCCCCGAAGAAUUUCAGCAUCAGGCAAGGGGCGCGGGCCGGGAGCCUCUGCUCGCUGGAGAGCUAGCCUCUGCCCUUUGAACUUCUCCACCUUCCCACCAGUUCCCCCAAAACGACUCCGCGAAAACAGGAGUCAGCCCCUGAAAAGCAUACCAGGCAUUUUUAAACCCAACCCUGACAUUUCCUCAGCAUUUCCAUGGCUAAGACUCUUCCCGCACGCAACCUUUCCCCCACCCCCCUUCAAUCAAAUAGGCACCCGCUCUCUCAUGCUACUGCAAAGAAGGAAGAAAAAAAAAGUUGGCAAUUUAAUUCAAACAAAAGAAGCUUGAAAUCUAUAAGCACAGCAACUCCGAGGCUUCUGGCAAAUAGAAUUCUAAUUAGUAUGCUGCUAUUUUUCUUUUAGACAGAUGAGCGAUGCCCCCUAUUGACUCUAGCAGGCAGGCUGGUAAGGGGGAAAAAAAAAAAAAAGAGGGGGGGCAGGUGGGGGCUAGCCAGCAAACACUGCAGAUUGCAAAUUAUAUUGCAAACCUUGCCAAGUCCUGGCUCUUGGCAUCAGAUUUUUAAUGACACCCUGGAAAAGGGAAAAAGAAGC